UUGACAACACAAACAGGAGCGUUGCAGUUUUGGCCCACCCUACCUUCAGGCACCACUACCUACCUGUUCAAAGGCACCUACCACCAUACCCUGUUCAAAGGCACCUACUACCCUGUUCAAGGCACUACUACCAUACCCUGUUCAAAGGCACCUACUACCAACCCUGUUCAAGGUACCUCUACUACCCUGUUCAAAGGCACCUAUACCCUUUCAAAAGGCACCUACUACCAUACCUGUUCAAAAGGCACCUACUACCAACCUGUUAAGGCACUACACCUACCCUGUUCAAAGGCACCUACUACCCUGUUCAAAGGGCACCUACUACCCUGUUCAAAGGCACCUACUACCAUACCCUGUUGAACGGCCCUACUACCAUACCUGUUCAAAGGCCCCUACUACCAUUACCCUGUUCAAAGGUAUCAUCCGUCAGCACCACUACCAUAACCCUGUUCAAGGCAACUACUACCCUGUUCAAAGGCACUACUACCCUGUUCAAAGGCACCUACUACCAUACCCUGUUCAAAGGCACCUACUACCCAUACCUGUUCAAAGGCACUAUACCUACCUGUUCAAAGGCACCUACAUACCCUGUUCAAAGGCACCUACUACCUACCCUGUUCAAAGGCACUACUACCAUACCCUGUUCAAAGGCACCUACUACCAUACCCUGUCAAAGGCACUACUACCCUGUUCAAGCACCUACCUACCCUGUUCAAAGGCACCUACUCCCUGUUCAAAGGACCCUACUACCAUACCUGUUCAAAGGCACCUACUACCUACCCUGUUCAAAGGCACCUAUUACCAUACCCUGUUCAAGGACCUAUACCUACCCUGUUCAAAGGCCCUUCCAACCCUGUCAAGGACCUACUACCAUACCCUGUUCAAAGGCACCACCAUACCUCACCUACUACCACACCCUGUUCAAAGGCACCUACUACCAUACCCUGUUCAAAGGCACCUAAUACCAUACCCUGUUCAAAGGCACCUACUACCACACCCUGUUCAAAGGCACCUACUACCAUACCCUGUUCAAAGGCACCUACUACCAUACCCCAUUCAAAGACACCUACUACCAUACCCUGUUCAAAGGCACCUACUACCCUACCCCAUUCAAAGACACCUACUACCAUACCCUGUUCAAAGGCACCUACUCCAUACCCCAUUCAAAGACCUACUACCAUACCCUGUUCAAAGGCACCUCUACCACACCCUGUUCAAAGGGCACCUACUACCAUACCCUGUUCAAGGCACCUACUACCAUACCUGUUCAAAGGCACCUACUACCAUAACCGUUCAAAGCACCUACUCCCUGUUCAAAGGCCACUACCCUACCGUUCAAAGGCACCUACCCCCAUACCCUGUUCAAAGGCACCUACCACCAUACCCUGUUCAAAGGCACUUACUACCAUACCCAUUCAAAGACACCUACUACCAUACCCUCUUCAAGGCACCUACUACCAUACCCCUUCAAAGACACCUCUACCAUACCCUGUUAACUAGCACNNNNNNNNNNNNNNNNNNNNNNNNNCUACUACCAUACCCCAUUCAAAGACACCUACUACCAUACCCUGUUCAGACACCUACUACCAUACCCUGUUAACAGGCACCUACUACCAUACCCCAUUCAAGACACUACUACCAUACCCUGUUCAAAGGCACCUACUACCAUACCCAUUCAAAAGACACCUACUACCAUACCCCACCCUUUCUACCCCGUUCAAGGCACUCAAAAUUUGUCUUUCCCAUUCACCCUCUGAAUGGCACACAUACACAAUCCAUGUCUCAAUUG
rnacentral:lncRNA from 1 species